GACGAACGCUGGCGGCGUGCUUCAUACAUGCAAGUCGAACGAGAAGCUGACUUCGGUCAGUGGAAAGUGGCGGACGGGUGAGUAAUAUGUAGGAAAUCUGCCUUUAGGAGGGGGACAACAGAGGGAAACUUCUGCUAAUACCCCAUAUGAGCGUAGCUGAAAUGCUAUUCUUGAAAACUCCGGUGCCUAAAGAUGAGCCUGCAUCUGAUUAGCUAGUUGGUAGUGUAAUGGACUACCAAGGCGACGAUCAGUAGCUGGUUUGAGAGGAUGAUCAGCCACAAUGGGACUGAGACACGGCCCAUACUCCUACGGGAGGCAGCAGGAGGGGAUUUUGCGCAAUGGGCGAAAGCCUGACGCAGCAACGCCGCGUGAACGAUUAAGCCCUUCGGGGUGUAAAGUUCUGUCAGUGGGGACGAAACUUGACGGUACCCACAGAGGAAGCACCGGCUAACUCCGUG
rnacentral:rRNA from 1 species